rnacentral:rRNA from 1 species
UAGGGAAUCUUCCACAAUGGGCGCAAGCCUGAUGGAGCAACACCGCGUGAGUGAAGAAGGGUUUCGGCUCGUAAAGCUCUGUUGUUGGAGAAGAACGUGCGUGAGAGUAACUGUUCAUGCAGUGACGGUAUCCAACCAGAAAGUCACGGCUAACUACGUGCC